rnacentral:rRNA from 1 species
UACAGAGGUGGCAAGCGUUGUUCGGAAUUACUGGGCGUAAAGGGCGCGUAGGCGGCCAUCUAAGUCAGACGUGAAAUCCCCCGGCUUAACCUGGGAACUGCGUCUGAUACUGGACGGCUCGAGUGCGGGAGAGGGAUGUGGAAUUCCAGGUGUAGCGGUGAAAUGCGUAGAGAUCGGGAGGAACACCAGAGGCGAAAGCGGCGACCUGGACAGGCACUGACACUCAACUACGAAAGCGUGGGGAGCAAACAGG